rnacentral:rRNA from 1 species
GGAAACUCAGGCUAAUACCGGCAUACGCCCCCAAGGGGGAAAGCAGGGGAUUUUCGGACCUUGCGCUAUCGGAUGAGCCUAUGUCGGAUUAGCUUGUUGGUGAGGUAAUGGCUCACCAAGGCCGCGAUCCGUAGCUGGUCUGAGAGGAUGAUCAGCCACAUCGGGACUGAGACACGGCCCGAACUCCUACGGGAGGCAGCAGUGGGGAAUAUUGGACAAUGGGCGAAAGCCUGAUCCAGCCAUGCCGCGUGUGUGAAGAAGGCCCUCGGGUUGUAAAGCACUUUCAGUGAGGAAGAAGGCUUGUGGGCUAAUACCCCGCAAGAAGGACAUCACUCACAGAAGAAGCACCGGCUAACUCCGUGCCAGCAGCCGCGGUAAUACGGAGGGUGCGAGCGUUAAUCGGAAUUACUGGGCGUAAAGCGCGCGUAGGCGGCUUGAUAAGCCGGUUGUGAAAGCCCCGGGCUCAACCUGGGAACGGCAUCCGGAACUGUCAGGCUAGAGUGCAGGAGAGGAAGGUAGAAUUCCCGGUGUAGCGGUGAAAUGCGUAGAGAUCGGGAGGAAUACCAGUGGCGAAGGCGGCCUUCUGGACUGACACUGACGCUGAGGUGCGAAAGCGUGGGUAGCAAACAGGAUUAGAUACCCUGGUAGUCCACGCCGUAAACGAUGUCGACUAGCCGUUGGGGUCCUUGAGACCUUUGUGGCGCAGUUAACGCGAUAAGUCGACCGCCUGGGGAGUACGGCCGCAAGGUUAAAACUCAAAUGAAUUGACGGGGGCCCGCACAAGCGGUGGAGCAUGUGGUUUAAUUCGAUGCAACGCGAAGAACCUUACCUACCCUUGACAUCGUGCGAACUUUCCAGAGAUGGAUUGGUGCCUUCGGGAACGCACAGACAGGUGCUGCAUGGCUGUCGUCAGCUCGUGUUGUGAAAUGUUGGGUUAAGUCCCGUAACGAGCGCAACCCUUGUCCCUAUUUGCCAGCGAUUCGGUCGGGAACUCUAGGGAGACUGCCGGUGA